rnacentral:rRNA from 1 species
CGGCGAGUGAAGAGGGAAAAGCUCAAAGUUGGAACCUGGCUGCCCUAGGCAGUCCGGAUUGUAAACUAAAGAGCGUGAUUCCAGGCAAGCCGGUUGACCAAGUCCUUUGGAAUGAGGCGCCACUGAGGGUGAGAGCCCCGUAAGUCGACUGAGCAUUUGUCUUUUGUGCUUCGCGUUCAAAGAGUCAGGUUGUUUGGGAAUGCAGCCUAAAGCUGGUGGUAAAUCCCACCUAAAGCUAAAUACAGGCGAGAGACCGAUAGCGAACAAGUACCGUGAGGGAAAGAUGAAAAGAACUUUGAAAAGAGAGUUAAACAGUAUGUGAAAUUGCCAAGAGGGAAGCAUUUGGAGUUAGAUUGACUAGGAGUUAAUCAGCUUGGUCUUUGGACUGGGUGUACUUGACUUCUUACAGUCUGCCAAUAGCAGUUAGUCCUAGUGGAAAAAACCAGAGGGAAGGUAGUCCUUCGGGAUGUUUAUAGACCUUUGGAAAAUACACUGGGAUUGACUGAGGAAUGCAGUAGAUGCCACUAAGGCUUCGUCUAGUGGGUGCUAGGCAAAGGUACUUGGUAUUUUCAGCUUGCUGAUGUGCUAGGUUACUCGAGUCUAGUCGCCUACUAGAA